rnacentral:rRNA from 1 species
GUGGCAAGCUUAACCGUAUAGGGUAGGCGUAGCGAAAGCGAGUCUUAAUAGGGCGUUUAGUCGCUGGGUAUAGACCCGAAACCGGGCGAUCUAUCCAUGAGCAGGUUGAAGGUUAGGUAACACUGACUGGAGGACCGAACCCACUCCCGUUGAAAAGGUAGGGGAUGACUUGUGGAUCGGAGUGAAAGGCUAAUCAAGCUCGGAGAUAGCUGGUUCUCCUCGAAAGCUAUUUAGGUAGCGCCUCAUGUAUCACUCUGGGGGGUAGAGCACUGUUUCGGCUAGGGGGUCAUCCCGACUUACCAAACCGAUGCAAACUCCGAAUACCCAGAAGUGCCGAGCAUGGGAGACACACGGCGGGUGCUAACGUCCGUCGUGAAAAGGGAAACAACCCAGACCGCCAGCUAAGGUCCCAAAGUUGUGGUUAAGUGGUAAACGAUGUGGGAAGGCUUAGACAGCUAGGAGGUUGGCUUAGAAGCAGCCAUCCUUUAAAGAAAGCGUAAUAGCUCACUAGUCGAGUCGGCCUGCGCGGAAGAUGUAACGGGGCUCAAACCACACACCGAAGCUGCGGGUGUCACGUAAGUGACGCGGUAGAGGAGCGUUCUGUAAGCCUGUGAAGGUGAGUUGAGAAGCUUGCUGGAGGUAUCAGAAGUGCGAAUGCUGACAUGAGUAACGACAAUGGGUGUGAAAAACACCCACGCCGAAAGACCAAGGGUUCCUGCGCAACGUUAAUCGACGCAGGGUUAGUCGGUUCCUAAGGCGAGGCUGAAAAGCGUAGUCGAUGGGAAACAGGUUAAUAUUCCUGUACUUCUGGUUACUGCGAUGGAGGGACGGAGAAGGCUAGGCCAGCUUGGCGUUGGUUGUCCAAGUUUAAGGUGGUAGGCUGAAAUCUUAGGUAAAUCCGGGGUUUCAAGGCCGAGAGCUGAUGACGAGUCGUCUUUUAGAUGACGAAGUGGUUGAUGCCAUGCUUCCAAGAAAAGCUUCUAAGCUUCAGGUAAUCAGGAACCGUACCCCAAACCGACACAGGUGGUCGGGUAGAGAAUACCAAGGCGCUUGAGAGAACUCGGGUGAAGGAACUAGGCAAAAUGGCACCGUAACUUCGGGAGAAGGUGCGCCGGCUAGGGUGAAGGAUUUACUCCGUAAGCUCAGGCUGGUCGAAGAUACCAGGCCGCUGCGACUGUUUAUUAAAAACACAGCACUCUGCAAACACGAAAGUGGACGUAUAGGGUGUGACGCCUGCCCGGUGCCGGAAGGUUAAUUGAUGGGGUUAGCGCAAGCGAAGCUCUUGAUCGAAGCCCCGGUAAACGGCGGCCGUAACUAUAACGGUCCUAAGGUAGCGAAAUUCCUUGUCGGGUAAGUUCCGACCUGCACGAAUGGCGUAACGAUGGCGGCGCUGUCUCCACCCGAGACUCAGUGAAAUUGAAAUCGCUGUGAAGAUGCAGUGUAUCCGCGGCUAGACGGAAAGACCCCGUGAACCUUUACUGUAGCUUUGCACUGGACUUUGAGCCUGCUUGUGUAGGAUAGGUGGGAGGCUUUGAAGCGUGGACGCCAGUUCGCGUGGAGCCAUCCUUGAAAUACCACCCUGGCAUGCUUGAGGUUCUAACUCUGGUCCGUGAUCCGGAUCGAGGACAGUGUAUGGUGGGCAGUUUGACUGGGGCGGUCUCCUCCUAAAGAGUAACGGAGGAGUACGAAGGUGCGCUCAGACCGGUCGGAAAUCGGUCGCAGAGUAUAAAGGCAAAAGCGCGCUUGACUGCGAGACAGACACGUCGAGCAGGUACGAAAGUAGGUCUUAGUGAUCCGGUGGUUCUGUAUGGAAGGGCCAUCGCUCAACGGAUAAAAGGUACUCCGGGGAUAACAGGCUGAUACCGCCCAAGAGUUCAUAUCGACGGCGGUGUUUGGCACCUCGAUGUCGGCUCAUCACAUCCUGGGGCUGAAGCCGGUCCCAAGGGUAUGGCUGUUCGCCAUUUAAAGUGGUACGCGAGCUGGGUUUAGAACGUCGUGAGACAGUUCGGUCCCUAUCUGCCGUGGACGUUUGAGAUUUGAGAGGGGCUGCUCCUAGUACGAGAGGACCGGAGUGGACGAACCUCUGGUGUUCCGGUUGUCACGCCAGUGGCAUUGCCGGGUAGCUAUGUUCGGAAAAGAUAACCGCUGAAAGCAUCUAAGCGGGAAACUUGCCUCAAGAUGAGAUCUCACUGGGAACUUGAUUCCCCUGAAGGGCCGUCGAAGACUACGACGUUGAUAGGCUGGGUGUGUAAGCGUUGUGAGGCGUUGAGCUAACCAGUACUAAUUGCCCGUGAGGCUUGACCAU